rnacentral:rRNA from 1 species
CCUACGGGCGGCAGCAGUGGGGAAUCUUCCACAAUGGGCGAAAGCCUGAUGGAGCAACGCCGCGUGGGUGAAGAAGGUCUUCGGAUCGUAAAACCCUGUUGUUAGAGAAGAAAGUGCGUGAGAGUAACUGUUCACGUUUCGACGGUAUCUAACCAGAAAGCCACGGCUAACUACGUGCCAGCAGCCGCGGUAAUACGUAGGUGGCAAGCGUUAUCCGGAUUGAUUGGGCGUAAAGGGAACGAAGGCGGUCUUUUAAGUCUGAUGUGAAAGCCCUCGGCUUAACCGGAGUAGUGCAUUGGAAACUGGGAGACUUGAGUGCAGAGGAGGAGAGUGGAACUCCAGGUGUAGCGGUGAAAUGCGUAGAUAUAUGGAAGAACACCAGUGGCGAAAGCGGCUCUCUGGUCUGUAACUGACGCUGAGGUUCGAAAGCGUGGGUAGCAAACAGGAUUAGAUACCCCUGUAGUC